AUUGAACGCUGGCGGCAUGCUUUACACAUGCAAGUCGAACGGUAACAGGCCGCAAGGUGCUGACGAGUGGCGAACGGGUGAGUAAUGCAUCGGAACGUGCCCAGCCGUGGGGGAUAACUACUCGAAAGAGUAGCUAAUACCGCAUACGAUCUAUGGAUGAAAGCGGGGGACCGUAAGGCCUCGCGCGAUUGGAGCGGCCGAUGUCAGAUUAGGUAGUUGGUGGGGUAAAGGCUCACCAAGCCAACGAUCUGUAGCUGGUCUGAGAGGACGACCAGCCACACUGGGACUGAGACACGGCCCAGACUCCUACGGGAGGCAGCAGUGGGGAAUUUUGGACGAUGGGCGCAAGCCUGAUCCAGCAAUGCCGCGUGCAGGAAGAAGGCCUUCGGGUUGUAAACUGCUUUUGUACGGAACGAAACGGCUCUGGUUAAUACCCGGGGCUAAUGACGGUACCGUAAGAAUAAGCACCGGCUAACUACGUG
rnacentral:rRNA from 1 species